rnacentral:rRNA from 1 species
CCUACGGGGGGCUGCAGUGGGGAAUAUUGCACAAUGGGCGAAAGCCUGAUGCAGCAACGCCGCGUGAGCGAUGAAGGCCUUCGGGUCGUAAAGCUCUGUCCUCAAGGAAGAUAAUGACGGUACUUGAGGAGGAAGCCCCGGCUAACUACGUGCCAGCAGCCGCGGUAAUACGUAGGGGGCUAGCGUUAUCCGGAAUUACUGGGCGUAAAGGGUGCGUAGGUGGUUUCUUAAGUCAGAGGUGAAAGGCUACGGCUCAACCGUAGUAAGCCUUUGAAACUGGGAAACUUGAGUGCAGGAGAGGAGAGUGGAAUUCCUAGUGUAGCGGUGAAAUGCGUAGAUAUUAGGAGGAACACCAGUUGCGAAGGCGACCUGCUAGAACAUAACUGACGCUGAUGCGCGAAAGCGUGGGGAGCAAACAGGAUUAGAUACCCUUGUAGUC